CCUACGGGAGGCUGCAGUGAGGAAUAUUGGUCAAUGGACGAGAGUCUGAACCAGCCAAGUAGCGUGAAGGAUGACUGCCCUAUGGGUUGUAAACUUCUUUUAUAUGGGAAUAAAAUGUUCCACGUGUGGGAUUUUGUAUGUACCAUAUGAAUAAGGAUCGGCUAACUCCGUGCCAGCAGCCGCGGUAAUACGGAGGAUCCGAGCGUUAUCCGGAUUUAUUGGGUUUAAAGGGAGCGUAGGUGGAUUGUUAAGUCAGUUGUGAAAGUUUGCGGCUCAACCGUAAAAUUGCAGUUGAAACUGGCAGUCUUGAGUACAGUAGAGGUGGGCGCAAUUCGUGGUGUAGCGGUGAAAUGCUUAGAUAUCACGAAGAACUCCGAUUGCGAAGGCAGUUCACUGGACUGCAACUGACACUGAGGCUCGAAAGUGUGGGUAUCAAACAGGAUUAGAUACCCUUGUAGUC
rnacentral:rRNA from 1 species